CCUACGGGCGGCAGCAGUAGGGAAUCUUCCACAAUGGGCGAAAGCCUGAUGGAGCAACGCCGCGUGGGUGAAGAAGGUCUUCGGAUCGUAAAACCCUGUUGUUAGAGAAGAAAGUGCGUGAGAGUAACUGUUCACGUAUCGACGGUAUCUAACCAGAAAGCCACGGCUAACUACGUGCCAGCAGCCGCGGUAAUACGUAGGUGGCAAGCGUUAUCCGGAUUUAUUUGGCGUAAAGGGAACGCAGGCGGUCUUUUAAGUCUGAUGUGAAAGCCUUCGGCUUAACCGGAGUAGUGCAUUGGAAACGGGGAGACUUGAGUGCAGAAGAGGAGAGUGGAACUCCAUGUGUAGCGGUGAAAUGCGUAGAUAUAUGGAAGAACACCAGUGGCGAAAGCGGCUCUCUGGUCUGUAACUGACGCUGAGGUUCGAAAGCGUGGGUAGCAAACAGGAUUAGAUACCCCAGUAGUC
rnacentral:rRNA from 1 species